UACGUAGGUGGCAAGCGUUGUCCGGAUUUACUGGGCGUAAAGAGCGCGCAGGCGGUCGUUCAAGUCGCGUGUGAAAGCCCCCGGCUCAACUGGGGAGGGUCACGCGAUACUGAUCGACUCGAAGGCAGGAGAGGGUAGUGGAAUUCCCGGUGUAGUGGUGAAAUGCGUAGAUAUCGGGAGGAACACCAGUGGCGAAGGCGGCAUCCUGGACCGGCAUUGACGCUGAGGAGCGAAAGCCAGGGGAGCAAGCAGG
rnacentral:rRNA from 1 species